rnacentral:rRNA from 1 species
CGUAGGGUGCGAGCGUUAAUCGGAAUUACUGGGCGUAAAGCGUGCGCAGGCGGUUUUGUAAGACAGAUGUGAAAUCCCCGGGCUCAACCUGGGACCUGCCGUUGAUACUGUUAGUCUUGAAUGCAGAUGAUGUGGGCGGAAUAUGACAUGUAGUGGUGAAAUACUUAGACAUGUCAUAGAACACCGAUUGCGAAGGCAGCUCACAAAACUGUGAUUGACGCUGAUGCACGAAAGCGUGGGGAUCAAACAGGAUUAGAUACCCUGGUAGUCCACGCCCUAAACGAUGAUUACUCGAUGUUGGCGAUACACCGUCCAGCGUCCAAGCGAAAGCGUUAAGUAAUCCACCUGGGGAGUACGGCCGCAAGGCUG